GCCAGUGUGGUGUAGUGGUUUGAGCAUUGGACUAUGGCUCUGGAGAUCAGGGUUCGAAUCCUGGCUCAGCCA
rnacentral:tRNA from 1 species